AAGGAACCGCAGCAAAAGGGUCGCAUAAAAAAGCAAAAGAUAAUAUAAUUUUAAAUGUUCUCCCGGCUGCAUCACUACU
rnacentral:sRNA from 1 species